GUAAAUUUUCCUGGUGGUUUUUUUUUUUUUGCAUCUGAAAGCAAACCAGGUUGUAUAUUCUGAGAUGGCUAUGGGAUCUGAAUCAAUACAUGUUAGCUGGGAAGGACCGGGAAACUUUUCUCAAAAGCACUUUGCUGAUUCAAACCAAAAAGUUAAUGUCUACUCAAGGAACAGCUACUUGAAGAUGAGGAACUUAGGUAGAUUGGGUGAUUGUCUCCCAUCCAGAAUAUAGAAGAACUGGUACUAAAAUGAUUUCUGCUUCUCUAUUUCUAGCUAAACAUUAAGCAUAUCCUUUAAAUUUUCUUUUCUCUCUUUUUUGCCGAAGAACUUUGACUGUUACAGUUUGCCUUCAGAGGUGAACGAACUUGCAGUUAGAGAGUUAUGCAGUUCAGAGAACAGUGUAAGUGGUGGUACUUCAAAGGGCAGCUUGUCCCUUGAAAAGGUAGACGUGCUCAAUGUUUUUUUUUCUUUUCCUUUGUACCCUUCUGUGAUCUCAAUGGAUCAGUAUGUAAUAUGACAUUAACUUUGGUUUUUCUUACUCCCUAAAUGCUACCAUUUGUGCAAAUAUUUUAAUGUCUGUCAUGCUGCAACUGAAAUUCUUUCUUCUUCUGUGCACUGCAAUGUUGAUGAAAACCCACAACAAAACUACCAUACACAGCAACACUGUCUAUGAAGGAUUAUAACAAAUUUAGAGUCCCCUUAAGAUUUGAUCCUAUAUUAAAAGAAGUCAAACAAGAGCGAAGCCUAGAGCUGUUGCUGCUGCCUAAGCUCAAAGUACACCUUCUGAUGAGCACAGACCUUUUUAUGGGGGGUCUUCUAGAAAGGAAAGAAAGCAUGACACAUUAUGGAUAAAAUCUGCAUUUUAAAUUUCUAUUUACAACUUUGGUACAGCAGCUACAGAAACACUGGAAAUUUGGUAGCAAACAGACCAACAGGUCUGUUAUAAAAAGUUCAUGAAUUACUGAAGAAUAUUCCCUUGUUCCUACAGUCUUUGACUUCGAUUCACCAAGGGGAGAUCAUGCGUGACCAACCUGACAGCCUUCUAUGAUGGCGUGACUGCCUGGGUGGAUGAAGGGAGAGCAGUGGAUGCUGUUUACCUCGACUUCAGUAAGGCGUUCGGCAGUGUCUCCCAUAGCCUCCUCAUAGGUUACAGUUCUUCACUAACUGCUCCAGCAUGGGAUGCAGUCCUUCAGGAAAAGACUGCUCCAGCCUGGGUCCCCAGUAGAGUCACAGGUCCUGCCAGCAAACCUGCUCCAGCACCGACUUCCCAUGGGGUCACAGCCUCCUUCAGGCAUUUACCUGCUCCAGCGUGGAGUUCUCCAUGGGCUGCAGGUGGAUAUCUGCUCCACUGUUAACCUCCAUGGGCUGCAGGGUGACAGCCUGCCUCACCAUGGUCUUCACCAAGGGCUACAGGGGAAUUUCUGCUCCAGCUCGUGGAGAACCUCCUCCCCCUCCUCCUUUACUGACCUUGGUGUCUGCAGAGUUGUUCCUCUCUCUGGCUGCAGUUGUGCAGGUUUUUUUGUUCCCCCUUCUUAAGUGUGCUAUCUCAGAGGCCCUACCACUGUUGCUGAGGGGGUCAGCCUUGGCCAUCGGUGGGUCCACCUUGGAGCUGGCCAGUAUAGGCUUUAUGCAACAUAGGGGUAGCUUUAGCAGCUCCUCACAAAAGCCACUGCUGUAGCCCCCCCGCCACCAAAACCUUGCCAUGUAAACCCAAUACAAUGAUACAAGGAUGACACUGUUCUUUCUAAAGAAUUGAAUUGAGGAAGAAUUUUUCUCUUUUAUUUUGGGACUUUCUGUCAAUAUCAGUAUCUGGACAUGAAUUAACUCCUGGACCUUCACCACCAACACACACCAAGAUAAAUCCACUCCAAAAGGCAAGUCUUUGUGCAUUUGUAAGCCUUACUAUACUGCAAUAUCACUGUAGAGCUUGGGUCCUAUACAGCAGACUUCCCACAGUGAAAUGCUUUUACUGCUUCUUCUUGUUCUGGAUCAUUCUAAACACUUGUUAUGCAGACUUAUGGGGGGAAAAAUCUCAGUUUUGACUGAGAAAUGUAUGAAUCACAUCUCUUCCUUCUCACCACCAGACUCAUCUGACAUGGUUUCAAAGCACUAUAAAAUAACCUAAAAAUAAGUAGAAGUUAUGCAGCCAUAUUUAAAACAAACUCUACUUGAUUAUCCGCUGGUAAAUGGCAAGUUUAGAUGUCUCUGUGACUCAUUUUAGGAUACUUUUUAAGAGCACCUCAGGCCAAAUAUGAUUAUGAAACAACACUUUUAAUCUUACAAAUGGUUUUUAGCCCUACUUCUUCACAACCAAAAAUAGAGAAAUUAUGCCCUUUCCCUUUUCAUUGUACGUAUUUCCUUUUGUGUCAGGAAAAAAGAGAGAAAAUCAUCUAUGUAUCCUGCAUUAUUGUUUAUGAAUUUGAGACUACAAAUCUCACUUAAUACUGUGGUAGGGGAAUGAAUAUGCAACCCCUUAGAUUGAAAGGGAGCUUCACAUGAAGAAAUCAACAAGCCGUCUCUCCCAAACACAGUGUUAAUGCUACCACAGGGCAUGACAGUCCCUGAGUCUGAUCUUAUUCCUUCCCUUAUAUUUUUACACUGAAGGUAAAUUUCAGGUAUGAGUCAAAUCACAAGGACUUAAAUGAAUUAAGGAGUUAAAUAAAAUUGAAAAUACAAUAAAAUAUAUAAAAAUACAUGUAACAUACAAGACUAGUUCAAAUGAAGUCUGCAGGAUUAGUGAUUUUAAUGACAACAUUUACAAAUACUUGUAUUUUACCGUUCAUAAUUAUGAAGAAGUUAUUAAGUUGUACAUUUCUUCCUUUAGUAUUUUUUCUCCACUACAAACUAAUGAAGAGUAUAGAUAUUUUGCCUGUCAGUGAUUUCUACUGGAUAGUAUAGAUCCAUACUUAACAAUAACUGCCUGAGAUUUUUAGUUCCAAAAUAAUUUAUAAGGUUAAUUCUUUAUAUUUUUAUUAUUUUUUCAUCAGACACACGUGUCUCAUUUGUAUGUAAAGUUGCUAAAGGGAAAACCUCCCACAUCAACACCUUUAUGAAAAAUAUUCUCACUCAGAUAGCUCAGCUGGAACGACUGAAAUCAAACUGAAUACCUUAACUAGCAUGAACAUGUUCAUUUAAAUCAGUAACUGUGUGUUCCUUAUACAAAAUCAAAAGUGGAGUAGUAUUAUUACAUUGCAUAGGUGGAAACAAAUUUGUUAAACAUGAGGAGUUUUUAAUGUUGAGGAUAAAAAAAAAAAGUAUAGGACUACAAAGCAUGUUUAUGCCAAUUCUUAGUUAAAUAAGAUUCACUUCAGCUAGAAUCUACAACUCACUGUUUUGGAUAUAUAUCCCCUCAUAUUCUGUGAAAAUGGUGGAAAUCAGCUACUAAUCAUGUGUUAAAAUCUGUACUUAAACACAUCUGUUUGACACAUUUUGAAAUUCUAAGUUUUACUUCCUGAUCAUUUUAGAAAAGGAAUUAAAAUUAAUUGUACAAGCUAUGUCUCUGCAAAGAUGUAAUAUGCGCGUUAAAAAAUGAAAAGCAUUGACAAAGCAGGUGAAAACAUGUUUUAAUAAACGUGUCUUGAAAACUGGUAAAUGGUGGAAGAUCUUGCCAAAUAUUGAAGGUUUUCAGAGCAGCUUUUUAAAACAUAAAAGCUAAACCAACCAGCCACGCACGUUUCAUAUAGACCUGGUUCUUACCAUAAAAACUUUCAGAGUUUAGGAUGUUUGCUGCUAACAGACUGUUUUCACAAUAAAUGAUGUGUUCUUAUAGAAAGUAAUUCAUUUGAAUGUUGCUGGCUUCUCAGGCUCAAAAGCAGCAAAAACAAAGCCCGAUGAGUACUGUGAUGUUAUGAAUCAUAGACAGCAGAAAUAACCUUUUUACAGUACCAUCUACCUUGGAUUCUCAAGAUUACUAGGAACAUUAAUUGAUAAGGUUGUGCAUGUUUUGCUAUUUCUUUUUGUAUUACAGACAGCAGAGAUUAAGUAACCUGAAGGCAUUAUAGAAUUUUGCUAGGAAAAUAACAACGGAAGAAAAAGUGUGCAUUGAAAUUAAGCACAUUUUCGCUUUUUCUUGAUAGGGUCCAAAAUAUGCUUUAGAGUCAAUGUCUCUGCUGCCACCCCUUAUUGCACAAAGCAGGCUCAGAGCACACAAACUGGACUUAUUUCAAAUGAAACCAGUUUGGAAUAUUCACUCCAAGAACACACCUAAUAUCCUCCAGCUACCAAUAGGUGUCCAGUCCAGGAGACAGACUACAGACUGUCUGAAGUAUCCCUCCCCUCCCAAGAACAUCUAUAUAACAUGGACCCUGGGUUCCGGGCACUAAUUGUUUCAUACCACAGGUCCUUUCCUAUUGUGGUGCACGGCUUGGUAAUAUAGUCCUAGAGUCAUCUAUCAUAAUUGACAAAACUGCUUCAGGCUAUGGGAUUUUGAAAUCCAACUACUAAGUUCAAGACACCACAGAGUUACUUAUUAGUGUAGCCCUCCUAUGCAACUGAAGCCUUUGAGACUCAUAUUGCUGGUGACUUUGUUCCCAGAGGAGGACAUAUAUAAAACCAGCAAGUCCUGACGCCAUGUGCUCAUUAUGUUCAUGGUAAAACAACUUCAGCAAUAGAGAACUUAAUCUUCAAUAGCCGUUUAUUUGCUGAGUAGUAUACUCUACUUGUAUGAGAAAAACAUCAGUUUAGGUUCCUGCUUCAAAUCAGGGAGAGUGAUGGUUAAAAGGUAGGUCUUCCAGUAUGUAAAUUUAUCUUUUAGGACACCCCACAAACAAUUUCUUCAGUAUCAACUGUUAUAUUCGCUCUACUCCAGUCAAAACCACAGACAAAAAGUGUGAGGCAGCUCAGCUGUAAAUGGAAACUGAGCUGGGACAAAAUGGUGCUGUCUACUUCAAGAAGGUAGAAUAUGUUGACUGAAGAUACUUCAAGAAAACAAAAUAUCCUACAAAGAAUUUGUAAUAAGUCAUGUGAUUGCUUCAAUAUUUGUAUUAUUUGCAAUAUUAAUUUUCUAACAACAUUUUUGUCAUUAUUCUUGAUUAGCUCUAACUAGGCAGACAGAAAAAGAUGUUUUAAAAAGAAAACUAUCUCCAAUGAAAGGCAAGGAGAAAAGCAGCUGUGAUCUUCCCUGGCUUGCUCAAUGACACAGCAAAUCAUUUGUGCAAAUGAGAAGAGAGACCAUAUUUUCAGAGCCAUAAGCCUGCAGAUUUAAUCAAAAAGCUAUUUUUAUUCUCUAUUUAAGUAUAAUUAUCAUUGGUUAUGGAAAAACACUUUACCAAAAUAGUUUGGGGAGUAAUCAGUAAGGAAGAAAAGAAACUUGUAGUUAGUUUCUAAAUUAAUAAAAGGAAAAGUUUAAUAUAUAUGCUUGGAAAAUAUCUAGCACAGUUAAACAAGAUCCAUGUGAAAUAUAUCCAACCGUCAAAAAAUGAAGGCAAUUAGCAGCAAUUAUAGAGCUUCUUCCCCAAAACUAUGUAUUGUAAAUCCUUUUAAUCAGGGAAAGCACCAAUAACAUCAAGCCAUUGUGUGUCUGAACAGGAAGCCUACUAUGUAAGAACACUUUGCUCUUAAUUAACUUUUGGAUACCACUUUCUGCAGAUUACUAUCGGCAGAGGUGCUGCAUAGAGGAAACUAUGUAUUUUAGAUUCCUAUUAAAGGAUUAAUUGUAUUUUUAAGUGCAAUAUGGUAAUGAGACGUAAUGGUUGUUUGCUGGAGGUAUACUGUACUUAAUAGGUUGGUGGAUUAAACAGUCCUUGCAUUAAAAUGAAUUAUUGUAUUUGUCAUAAAUACCUUUGAGGAUAAAUUUGCUUUCAACUGCUGGAGGAAUUCUUUGAUACAAAACAUGAAGGAUUACAUGAAGGUGACAGGAGAGGUAGUCUGCAUCUGUCAGGUGUGCUCCUGAUCACAGGCCAAGAAAAUUUACAAAGUAACCUGGGGCACAUUACAUUUAGAAACCGAGCCCUGUUAUCAAAAAUCAAAGAAUCCGAUGCAGCUGAAUGUUUUGUAUUUGGAAGCGAGAAGGAAAGAAGUAAUGCAUUUGGAAUUUAUUGUGUCUCUGUACUCGCUGCACUUUUUUUACUGGGCUCAGUAACCCCUCAGUUAGAGGGCAACUGUGUUUAUAACAAUAUCUGCUCCUGUAAUGUAAAAAUGAAGCUGCAAAAGUUAAGUUCUCAGUUUUUUAACACAAGUUCCAAGCUGCGACCACAAGGGCAAUUUAAGGAGAAAAAAAACCAAAACAAAACAAAACAAGAAAAAAACCUGAAGGACCUAUCCGGAAUGAAUACUUUUCAUCUGCUGCUUCAAGACUGGGUACUUUCAUAUGAAUUUUUUUUCAUGGGAAUUUUGCAAUAAUCAGUUCUAACCCCACCCACCCUUUCAUGUUGGAUAUGGUUGGUAAUUGUGCAAGAGCAUGGGUGGGGGGAAAAUUGCUACUGCGAUUUUGGAGUAAUUUAGUUUCUAGAGACUGAAGGCUUUCUUUUUUAGCAAGUGUAUAAUCUAGAGUAAGCCUUUUCCUAUAAAAGUUGUAGCCUUCAUGUACUUCCUUUCAACUAUACUGCAGGUACUGGGAGUUAACAUUGCUGUAGAGCAAAGGAGGGAGACAGCAGGGUUAAAAGGGGGGCUUAGGUUUGAUUUGGUUGAAUGGGGAGGACUGCACAAGAGGACAACCAUAUUAUGUGGUGAGUUUGCACGCAAACCAGUAUAAUGCCAAGGAAAGGGAGAAGGGGAUAAAUGAACUUUAAAAGAACCCGUAAGAAGGAAGAAAAACAACAGCUUUUUGUCAUAAACUGUGAUUAAGGUUGGAACCAUAGAGAAGGAAAUAUAAAAGCCCAUAAUGCAAGAGAAAAGAUGUUUAGAUACUGAUAGAAGAUAAGAAAAUAUUAUUCACAGUUAUAUAAAACAUAUGCAAACAGACUUGUGAACAGUAUUAUUAAACUUAAUUUAGGUUUGAAUACCAGUGUACCACUUGUAGGGUCAGUUUUCAAAAUAAUUUUUCAGUGGUCCUCUAGGUAUUGAAAGUAGCCAAGACAGUCUUUUUAGUGUUCCCGGAUGAAGAGAACUUGAGGAGGAAUGCUAUUGGAGCGAGUACGGAUUUAGAAGAGUGACACUGAUCCCAUGACUUUCUGCCUGCAAUAAAUCUUUCCUCCAUAGACCUUAGACACUUACUUCCCUGUUUCAAGUGAUCCUUCAGCCCUCACACUUCAUGACAGGGGUCUUUUUUGGCAAAAAACCUUAAGCUUCCCUAAAGUAUGAUUAGACUUGAAAAACAUCAAGAGAACUACAGUUCUCUUUAUUUAUUUAUUUAUUUGAUGGCAUCUUAAGGUCCUAUUAAUGCUGAAAUUAGCUUUUCAAAGAAAACACAGUGUGAGGCCCAAACAAAAAUUUUAAAAGCUCUUGAUGAAUGAAGUUAUCAAUUUUUUUUUUUUACCAAAAGUUCUAGAUCUCUGUUAGAUGGAAGUAUACAAGAUCAUGCAAGUGUUUUUUACUUGUCAGCUUCUCCCAGGAUUUUUCCAAUGAGGUUGGGAAAAACAUUAAACUGUAAAAAUUCUAUUUUGUUACAUUGCUAUGUUAAAAGUUCU